UGCGUAGGUGGUAGGGUAAGUCGGAUGUGAAAGCUCGGAGCUCAACUCCGAAAUGGCAUUGGAAACUACCCAACUAGAGGGUCGGAGGGGGGACGUGGAAUUCUUGGUGUAGCAGUGAAAUGCGUAGAUAUCAAGAGGAACACCAGUGGCGAAGGCGAGUCCCUGGACGACUCCUGACACUGAGGCACGAAAGCCAGGGGAGCAAACA
rnacentral:rRNA from 1 species